AUGUUUGCUGUAAUAGGGAUUGUAUCACUGUGGUACACUUUUGGUGGCGGCACCAGACUUGAUGUUGGAAGUAACACUGCCCCCACCCUGACCAUCCUGCCCCCCUCUAGUGAGGAGCUGUCCAGUACAACAACAGCCACACUGAUGUGUCUGGCCAACAAGGGCUUCCCCUCAGACUGGACCUUGAGUUGGAAAGUGGACGGGAACAACAAGAAUCAGAAGUCCUGUUCCGUGGUCCUGGAGAAGGAUGGUCUGUACAGCUGGAGCAGCACCCUGACUCUCACUGCCCAGGAGUGGACCAAGGUGGGAGAGGUGACCUGUGAAGCCCAGAAGAGCUCCCAGACACCAGUCAUCAAGACCCUGAGGAGGGAUGACUGUUCUGGUUAGGACCUGUCUGUCACAUUACCCAGUGAAGAGAGGCUGCUGGUUCUUUUGCUUUUACUUCGUUUUGACAGAUAUUUUGUCUUAUUAAUCACUUACAGUGAGCUUUGCGUAAGUUCAUGUGUCCAUCCUCUAUGUAGAUGGACAUUUGAUAGAUAUGAUAUGGUCUGGUCGUACUAUUAUAACACACAUUUGCUUUUAUACGUUGAUGAAAAUAAAGAUUUCGCUUUGUAGGAAAUAUAA